UCCUACGUGGAGUUAAGGCCUCUCCUGGAGCCUAUGUUUGGUGGAGAGGGUGAUGGAACUUCCUUUAGUGAGCAGCCUAGAUAAUUCAAACCAGGUAUAGAGCAAAGGGCACCGGCUCCAAGGAAGCAAAGAAACUCUGGGGAUGGUCACCUGUCACAAACCCUUUCUGGUCCUGCUCAGCACAGCCAGCAGCACCUGUUCAUAGGAAGAUGGACAGAUGGGGGAAUAACAGCACCAGCUCAGUUUGUCCAGGAAGUACAAGUUGCCUGUGGAGCCUACAAGGACAGUGACAUCAGAACAGUGACAUCAUAGGCAACCCCUCCAAACAGAGCAAAGGGAGGUGCAAAAGCCUCUGCUCUCUCACCCCAAACACCAGAGCCCAGAGCAGGGAGAUGGCCCGUCUUGCCCUUUCUGACUCUCCCAGUGGCUCUUGGCUCCUCUGCUCUGUGGCCCUCUGUCUCCUGGGGGCAGGUUCAGUGGCUGCUGGAGUCACCCAGUCCCCAAGACACCUAAUCAAAAGUCGUGAGGGGAAGGCUGUUCUGAAGUGCCAUCCUAUCUCUGGACACGAUACUGUGUACUGGUACCAGCAGACUCUGGGACAGGGCCCCCAGUUCCUCAUUAGUUUUUAUGAAGAGGAGGAGAGACAGAAAGGAAACAUCCCAGAUCGGUUCUCAGGAAAACAGUUCAGUAACUACAGCUCUGAGCUGGCCAUGAGCGCCUUGCAGCUGGGAGACUCAGCCGUGUAUCUCUGUGCCAGCAGCUUAGACACAGCCCUGCAGGGUCAAUGGCUUUCUGUACUCAAACCUCCCUGCCCCAGCUGA